UACGUAGGGUGCGAGCGUUGUCCGGAAUUAUUGGGCGUAAAGGGCUCGUAGGCGGUUUGUCACGUCGGGAGUGAAAACUCAGGGCUUAACCCUGAGCCUGCUUCCGAUACGGGCAGACUAGAGGUAUGCAGGGGAGAAUGGAAUUCCUGGUGUAGCGGUGAAAUGCGCAGAUAUCAGGAGGAACACCGGUGGCGAAGGCGGCAUCCUGGACCGGUAUUGACGCUGAGGAGCGAAAGCCAGGGGAGCAAACGGGG
rnacentral:rRNA from 1 species